rnacentral:misc_RNA from 1 species
UUUCCGUAGGUGAACCUGCGGAAGGAUCAUUAUUGGAUUUUGAAACUUCAGGCUGCUGCUGGCUCUCCUCGGAGGGCAUGUGCACGCUUGUUGUCCAUUAUUUCUCCCACUGUGCACAAAUUGUAGGCCUUUCUGUAGGCCUAUGUUGUUUUUCACAAUCUCUGAAUGUAAUAGAAUGGUUUUGAAUCUUGGGAAAUACAAUACAACUUUCAGCAACGGAUCUCUUGGCUCUC